rnacentral:rRNA from 1 species
AUUGAACGCUGGCGGCAGGCCUAACACAUGCAAGUCGAACGGUAACAGGAAGAAGCUUGCUUCUUUGCUGACGAGUGGCGGACGGGUGAGUAAUGUCUGGGAAACUGCCUGAUGGAGGGGGAUAACUACUGGAAACGGUAGCUAAUACCGCAUAACGUCGCAAGACCAAAGAGGGGGACCUUCGGGCUUCUUGCCAUCGGAUGUGCCCAGAUGGGAUUAGCUAGUAGGUGGGGUAACGGCUCACCUAGGCGACGAUCCCUAGCUGGUCUGAGAGGAUGACCAGCCACACUGGAACUGAGACACGGUCCAGACUCCUACGGGAGGCAGCAGUGGGGAAUAUUGCACAAAGGGCGCAAGCCUGAUGCAGCCAUGCCGCGUGUAUGAAGAAGGCCUUCGGGUUGUAAAGUACUUUCAGCGGGGAGGAAGGGAGUAAAGUUAAUACCUUUGCUCAUUGACGUUACCCGCAGAAGAAGCACCGGCUAACUCCGUG